UGGUGAUCUGUUGGUCAAAAUAGUCAUGAGCCUCUGCCCAAAUUCCAGGAAAGGAGACAGACAAUAUUCUCGGGGGAGGAAACAGAGCAGAUGUAGAUGGAUACAACUGCUUUUGGAAAGUACAGUUUGCUCCAUCUUUUCUAAGAGUGGAACCUGUUUCUAAGAUUUCUUAUUUUUCUGUGUGGAGAGCUAAACCAAAUGCAAUGGGCAAAGACAUAAGCAAGGUGCCCAUUGAUCUGUCACACAUCCCAGUGAAAAUGUCUGAAUUAAUAAACCAUUCAGGCACAAAGGGAUUUCAAAGUUGA
rnacentral:lncRNA from 1 species